rnacentral:rRNA from 1 species
CGUAGGUGGCAAGCGUUGUCCGGAAUUAUUGGGCGUAAAGCGCGCGCAGGCGGAAAUUUAAGUCUAUCUUAAAAGUGCGGGGCUCAACCCCGUGAUGGGAUAGAAACUGGAUUUCUUGAGUGUCGGAGAGGACAGUGGAAUUCCCAGUGUAGCGGUGAAAUGCGUAGAUAUUGGGAGGAACACCAGUGGCGAAGGCGACUGUCUGGACGAUGUCUGACGCUGAGGCGCGAAAGCCAGGGUAGUGAACGGGAUUAGAUACCCCGGUAAUCCUGGCCGUAAACGAUGGGUACUAGGUGUUGGGGGUAUCGACCCCUCCAGUGCCGGAGUUAACGCAAUAAGUACCCCGCCGUGGGGAGUACGGCCGCAAGGUUG